GUCUCCGGCCACGCUGCCCUGAACGCGCCCGAUCCCGUCUGCUCUCGAAAGCUAAGCAGGGUCGGGCCUGGUUAGUAGUAUUUGGAUGGGAGACCACCUAGGAAGACCAGGUGCUGUAGGCG
rnacentral:rRNA from 1 species